GAUUUGAUGGUUUCCAGCCCUGGCUCGGCAUUAGAACCACCCUUCUCAGGAAUAGACAUACUUGGAACUCCACCCCUGGGAAAUUCUGAGCCUGUGGAUCUGGGCUGGGGCCAGGAUCUGCCUGUUAAAAAUGGUCCUCUGGUUAUUCUGCUGUUGGAGGGUCUCAGUGUUUGUGAAAUCAAACAUAUGAUUGAAUGUAAGGUAGAACGUAAGUCCUUGAUUUCUCUGGUUUCUAGGGUUCAGUGAAGGGACAGAAAAGGCUGCUUGGUAAAGUGAUCUCUUCUAGGGAGGAUGCUUGGGGGGUCCAAGAGCUCAAAGCAUUUUCUCUUCUUAUCUCAUCUCUGCAUGUCCAGCCUUGCCCAUCGAAGCAGAUGGAACGGAGAGGAAGUUCACCCUGGCCUCCUUCACACUACCCCUGUGACCCAAAUGAUGAAACAGGACACAGAGAGGUUAUUUUUCCCAAAUCCAGUAAAGACGCAGAGCUGGAGGUUGAACCAGGGCUUCCGAUGCCAAUUCUGGAUUGCUCCUGGCUGUGCCAUGUUGGUUCUGUAUGCCAAAAUUCUUGGACUUUCUUGCUAUUGUUGACCCCCAGUGUCUUGCUAGAUGCUGCCUGGGACCGACACUGAGCAGAAUCAUGACAGGAGUGUCCGUGUCCCUAGGCUUCCCUUUUUGCCCAAUUGCCCUAUAUUGGUGGAGGCUCCAACCUGCCCUGCAAGAUGCUGGGUGCUCUUCUGCAUCUGACUUAUUCUUCCGCUCUGAUUUAUGUGAACUUAUUUCCAAGACGUGGUAAUUAAUCACCGCCUCAGCAAGGGGGAUCUGGGGGGGCUGACAAAGCACUGGAGCCCCUAUAGGAUUCCACAAACAUUGGGAUAAUCAAUAUUCCUAUUGAUAUAUUUAUUCUGGAUUCCCUGUGUACUUACUGGGUACUUGUUCUGAGUGCUCCUCCUGUGCCAGCUGCUGGGGAUGCAAUGAUGAAUGAAGAAGUGAAUCCAAACCUGGAAGUGGAUAUUUUUAAAAAAGUCCCAUCAUCAUUUUGGGAGCUGAGAUGUCCCAGUGUCACAAAAGAGAAUUUCUCAAUGAGGAACUGACCAGCGAGGGAGAAAAAUACCCUUUAAAAACACUUCCUGCUAGAAGUCAAAUGGUGGGCAAGCAAGAGUUGCACCAUCAAUGCAGCAUUCUUCUGGGUUCAUUUUCUGACUUUGGAAGAGGUUGGUUUCUACAAAUGCAGCGUUCUGCUCCCGGAUCACCAGCUUCCCCAAACUCUAGCGACAGGAGUUGAAACUUUCAGUGGAUCAGUUUGUGCAGGGCCUGUGCUGGCAUCAAAGGGUUGCCUGAUGAUGAAUCUGCAGGGAACGAGGAGGGAGGGAAGGGCUUCCCCAGUCGUGCCAGAGGCAGAGUGACCCAGGACAUAAUAAGUCAUGCAUUGCAUUCCUCUGCCACCAUGCAGACUUGUGGUGGCCAUUCCAAACCACUGGAGAGAAAUUCCAUUUUAUUCUUAGUGAUUUUUGCAUGGGAGACAGCUGACGUUCAGGUCCGGGCUCAUAAUCUUCCACUUUCGUCGAUCCUGCAGGAAGAGCGGGCUUUGGCCAAUGGCCAUUAACCUCCCGCUGCCUGGCAGACCUUUUGUAAGGCUCAGGGAUGAACGACAGGAUGGCUGAGGGAAUGGCCUUUGAGUUAGACCUCCCCCGACACCCCGGGGAGCCCAGGCUCUCCCCUCACCAGUUGUGUCACUUUGGGAAAGCUAUUCACCUUCCUCAGCUUCGGUUUCCAUAUCUGAAAAAGAGUACCCAUGCUCAUCUCAUAGGGAGUAAGUGAUACCAUGAUAGUACAGUGCUUGAGGCAUGCUCAGUGCACAGUAAGAGCUCCAGAGGAGGCUCCGUGCAUGCUGUGUUCAUGACGACACUACAUAUGCCCAGAUUGUGUUCACACAGGCGCAUGCCAAGAAUCCAUCAGCGUUCUCAGUCUGGGGGGGAGGUAGACAUGGGGUGUUUUGGGAAAACAAGGAAGAGAUUCCUAACUCACUUUCAGAUGUGUGUGUGUGUGUGUUUGUGAGGAUGUGUAUGUGUUGACUGGUGUGAGCAUAAGUGCAUGAGUGGAUGUGUGUGUCUGAGCAUAGGUGUGUAAAUAUGUGUGUGACAGAGUUGAGUGUACGUGGUGUGUGUGAAUGUGAGUACAGGUAUCUGUGUGAGGGUGUGCAUGUGUUGGGUGUGUGUAUGUGUGUGUAAAUGUAGGUGUCUACAUGUUGGGUUGAGCCUAAGUGUGAAUAAUAUGUGCGUGUGAGAGAGUUGAGUGUAUGUGGUGUAUGUGCGAGUGUGUAUGUAAGCGUGAGUUAAGCCUGUGUGGUCUGUAUGUGUGAGGGAGAGUCGUGUGUGUGUAUGAGAGUUGUGUGCGGGUGGCAUAGGUGUCUGUGUGUGUGUGCAAGUGUGUGUGAAAGUUAGGUGUGAGGGGCUGCGUGUGUGUGUGACAGGUGUGAGAGGGGGCUGCAUGUAAGUGUGAGAGUUAGGUGUAGAGGGGCUGCUUGUGAGUGUGCAAGUGUGUGUGAGGGUCAGGUGUGAGGGGGCUGCGUGUGAGUGUGUGUGUAAGGGUCAGGUGUGAGGGGGGCUGCGUGUGAGUGUGUGUGCGAAGGCUUUUAGGCGCCUUUGGCGCUUGCUUGUGCCGAGUUGAGGAUGGAACAGUUUGCAGAGCAUGCACGCUAGGAGGCGUUAGGGGAUGCCUGACAAGCAUUUAUUCAUUCAGUCAUUCAGCAAAUACGUAUUUGGGGUCUAGUCUGUGCUGGGUUUUGCGCCAUGCAGUGGGGACAUCGCUGGUUACUGCACACCUUCUUUGCGGUUCUUCUCCGUGGCCCGCCUGGCUCCAUUCCUAGCCUGCUUGGAGCCCUGGAGGCUGACCCUGCCAGCUGUGCCCCCAGGCUCCCUGUCACUGUCUUCUGGUUGAGUCGGGUCUGUCGAGGGCUCUGGCAGGAGACCAAAGGGCAAAGGGAGAGGGAGGUUCACAUCUUGGGCAGCAGCUGGGCCCCUCCACAACUGCGGUUCCUGCCCCUCUUCUGAGUCUCCAGUAACACUAUCUCCUCCCCUUGCUCCUUCAGCUGAGUGAGGGGCCCCCACUUGGUAUUUCUGGGAGCCCCAGCAUCCAGAAUGGUUCUUUCAUUACAUGAUCUUCAUUUGCACAGUCUGGGGUGAACUCUUUUUUCUGCUGCAUCCUUGCGGACACACCUAGCAACGCGCUUAUCAUUGGUUGUUCAAUUAGGCUUGAGUGUCUUUCUUGGGAUGAAUUCCCAGCCUCCCCUUCCCCUUCCUCUUCCCCUUCCCCUUCCCCUUCCCCUUCUCCUUCCCCUUCCCUCCCCUCCCCUCCCUUCGUUUCUUUUCUGCCGUAAAAGGAGCAAAUCAGCAGACUGGAGACUCUGAGGUUUGCUUUAAUUCUGAAAAUUCUAGAUUUGGCUUUCUAUUCUCUUGCCUGCUCUGGGAUGGGGGCUCUGCUCUUGGUGGUUCCAGAAUGCUCUUUACUUUGGGGAGGAGGAGGGGGAAGAUCAACAUCUGCAUCCAGCUGUGCCCUGCCAGGGGCACCCGCGGGCAGCUGUCAGCAGCCUGGCAGUUCCUCCUUCGGAACCAUUUUGCCUCCCCCAGCCUCCUCCCACUAUAUUCAGCUGCUUUCUGCAUCAUCCCCUUGGCACCCCCCCACCCCCGACUGCCAGAGGGCCAAAAGGAGCCUUCUAGUUCAUUGUGUUAUGCGGUAGAUAUGUGUAGAGCACCGCUCUGUGCCUGGCCCUGCUCUGAACACUGAGGAUCCAGCAGUGAGCACGGCCAGCAGUGGCCCUGCCUUCAUGGAGCUCGUACUCUGGUGGGAAGAGAGAGACAAUAAACAAAGAAAUGCACAAUCGUAAUAGAUCAGGUGGUGGUGCGUGCCUAGAUGAAAAAUGAAACAGGUGGCUGGGCACGGUAUCACAUGCCUGUGAACCCAGCACUUUGGAAGGCCGAGGUGGGGAAUCACCUGAGGUCAGGAGUUCAAGACCAGCCUGGCCAACAUGGUGAAACCCCGUCUCUACUAAAAAUACAAAAAUUUUCCAGGCCUGGAGGUGGGCAUCUGUAAUCCCAGCUACUCGGGAGAUUGAGGCAAGAGAAUCACUUGAACCCGGGAGGUGGAGGUUGCAGUGAGCCAAGAUCACGCGACUGCACUCCAGCCUGGGCAACAGAGUGAGACUCUGUCUGGAAAAAAGAAAAAGAAAAAAGAAACAGGUUAAGGAGAUAAACAAUGCUGGCAUGGGGUAUGCGAGCUGUUUCAUACAGGGUGGUCUUGGAGGGCCUACGGAGAAGGUGACAUUUGAGCAGAGACUGGGAGAAGCGAUGGAGGGGCCCACGGAUGUCUGGGAGAGAGUGCACUGGGCAGAGCAGGCUGCAGGUGCAGAGGCCUUGAGCUGGGGGCCUGUGGGGGGAUUGCAGGAAGAGUGACCAGAGGGAGGAUGAGGAGGGCAGUGGCAGGUCAUGAGCUCUCGGAGGCACAGAACAGACCUUGUAAGGCCUCAGAAGCAUGGGGAUCACUUUGGAAUUUAUUCUGAGUGAAAGGGAGGCUUUUGCAGAAAUAGAGAAGUAAUAAAGAUUUCAGGAUCAUUCUGUCUGUUGUAUGGAGGAGGUAGGGGGUGGGCAAGAGCAGAGGCAGAAAACCAGAAAGGGACCAUCCCAAGGACAGUAAGACCUGCCACCCCUGCCAGCACCAGCAUAUCUGCAGCACAGCAUGACAUAACGCAGGGUCCACACGAGGUGUUGGUUGCUGUUCUUGUAAUCAGCAGCGUUGUCAUCACCCCAGCAAUGUGCGAACUUGCGGAAAUUAUUUUUUCUGUCCAAGGUUCAGGUUCUCCAUCCAUAAGCUGAGGGUAAUAAUAUCUACCUUUUAGGGCUGCUGUGGGGAUUUAUGCUGCUCAGGUAUGUAAUGCUCACAGAAAGUGAAUAUGAUAACUAUGAUUCCCAUUUUAAGGAUGAGGAAACUGAGGCUCCACUUAACUGAGGCCAUACCUUGCCCAUCUGAUUCUAAACAUUCAGGCCUAUCAGAAAGGAAUGCCCCCAAAUCUGGGGCUAACAUAGAGAUGUAUCAUGUCUGUGUUUUAUGUUCCUUUGUGGCUAAGGUGAGCUCAAGAUCCUUUUCUUCUAGUCCAGUAGAUUCUAGGUUCUUAACCCCAGUGAUCAAGGAAAGCCCAGAGUCCUACUUCUUUGACCACCACAAGCUCAUCAUUCUAUCCUGUUGGCUCUGAAAUCAGUUAAUCACAUCAAGAGGGACAGAUUCUCCUUCGCUGUGCUCUGUUCCUCACAGAGAGCAUCAUGGAGAUGAAAAGACACUAUAAUAAUGGCAAUUGAUUCUGUAGUUUCUUGAGUCAGACACCAUGCAAAGCGCCUUCUACAUGCUAUCCCAUUUAACCCACAGAACAACCCUAUGAGAUUAAUGUCAUUCUCAUCUGCAUGCUACAGGUGAGGAAAUGGAAGUUUAGGAAGGUUAAAUAGUUUGCCCAAGGUCACGUCCCUAGUGAAGGGCAGAACCAGGUUUGAAUCUAAGAUUUGAUAACUUAGGUGUGUGCUCCCUCCACGGAUCUCCUGUUAAUUCUUCUAUUCCAUGUCCAGCUUGGUCAUGGAAUAUUCAUGCAUGGAAUAAUUAAUUAAUUAGAUGACGAAUUAAUUUAUUUGGCUGAAUGAAUGGCACUGACUUGGAACUACGGGGAGAAUAGAAUAGGUCAGAGAAAGAAUGACUGAUUGGAAUCAGGUGAGUCUGGAAGGAGGCUGGGGCUUCUGGGCUUGCUAUCAAUGUGGUCCUAGGCAAAGUGGCUGGCAGGAUGGAGACCCCCCCAGGAGACGUCCACACCCAAAUACUUGGAACCUGUGAAUGUGUUAUCUUAUGUAGCAGAAAGGACUUUGCAGAUAUAAUUAAGGUUAUGGAUCUUGAAGUGAGAAGACUAUCCUGAUGGGCUCGAUGGAAUCACAUGAGUCCUUACAAGUGGAGACCCUUCCUGCCCAUGGUCAGAGGGAGAGAUGCCACGAGAGAAGAAGAGUCAGAGAGAAAGACUCACCUGGCCAUCGUGGGCUUUGAAAAUGGAGGGAGAGGAGCGUGGGUCAUGGGGUGCAGAUGGCGUGGUUCCCUGGAUCAGGGCUUCGAGUCAGGAAUCACCAGCUUUGGGUCCUCCCAAGCUGCAUUCUGCCAUUGUCACACCUCUCUAGCUGUACACCCAGGGAGAGGCUGCCCACUUUUUCUUUGUGUCGUCGAGGAAGGUUUUUCUUUCCUUUCACCUCUCACUUGCCACGUGACCUGAGCUAAAUGACUUUUUCUGUUUGAGUCCCUUUUCCUUGUCAGCAAAAUAAAGAUGUGCUCUGGACAACCUCUCAGACAUCCUUUAGCUCUAAGAUUCUGUGGGUCUGUGUGUUUCCAAGAAGAAAAAUCAACCCCUAAACAAAAACCAAACUAAAAGCAAAAGGAUUGACAUCACUACCUUAGAAAAAUAAGAGCUAACCUUUACUGUCUAGAAACCAGACCCUGUUCAUUUAACAGCUCAUUUAAUCCCCUAAAAGGUAAGUGCUAUUCUUAUUCCUGGGCACAGAGAGGUGAGGUGUCUAGCCUCAGUCACACAGUGUGAACGUGGCAUGGCUGGGCUUCACCCUUGGUAGUUGUCCUCCACAGACCAUGCUAAUAACCAAGAGCAUUGGACCAUUUCCAUGUUCAUUCCUCCAUCCUUUGGGUUAUCCUGAGUCAUCACCAAGAGCUUACACCCAUCUCUUGCUUACACCCAUCUUGUCUUGGCUUUAACUCUAUUUUCCUAGUAUCAUCAGGUCACACUUUUAUGUUUCCUGGAAAUCCGGAACUGAGCUGGAAGAAUAUUCAGAGAUGCUUAAUACUCAUGUCUUCAUAUUGUUGGAUGAUAUGUGGGUCCCCUAUUCUAAGAGAUUUCAAUCAUAGCUGAUAUUUAUUGAAUACUUACUAUACACUGGGUCCAUCCUUAGAACUUUAUGUGUGUGAUGGACAUAAAGAUGG
rnacentral:lncRNA from 1 species